rnacentral:rRNA from 2 species
CUUGACCUCAAAUCAGGUAGGACUACCCGCUGAACUUAAGC